GCAGAACGGGCAUCUGAGAGUCAAAUUUUGGCACUACUACCAGGCAUUAACAAAAGCCUUAGAAAAUUAAGUAGAAUAUUCUAAGAUCGAUAAGCAAUUAAUUGAAGAUGUAAACAGAAAGUGUUACCUACAGGUUUAGCACAAAUAAAUGAUGGGAGAAU